GAAAUGCGAUAAGUAGUGUGAAUUGCAGAAUUCAGUGAAUCAUCGAAUCUUUGAACGCACAUUGCGCCCUUUGGUAUUCCUUAGGGCAUGCCUGUUCGAGCGUCAUCUAAACCUUCAAGCCCUGCUUGGUGUUGGGUGCCUGUCCCGCCUCCGCGCGCGGACUCACCUCAAAUCCAUUGGCGGCCCCCGCGUCGGCCACGAGCGCAGCAGAAACGCGAACUCGUGAGCCCGUCCGGGCGGCUCCCAGAAGCUACACCCACCCAGUUUGACCUCGGAUCAGGUAGGGAUACCCGCUGUACUUAAGC
rnacentral:misc_RNA from 1 species